rnacentral:misc_RNA from 1 species
GGAGCAACCAAAGUUGCCCAUCCAAGCACAGUAACCCAUCCAUAACAAAGCAAGCUUCCUAGAAACUCAACAGAACAAGAAAACCCAACUUAGCACCGGUAAAAAGGGGGGUUGUGACAAUGUUCUCCAGCACUCUAAGCCAUCAAGAAGGCUUUCCCUACCAUGGUGUAGAAGCAUUUCCUGGUGGUGCGAAACAACCAAACUCAAGAAUAUCCUCUUCGCUAAACAGAAACCUACCUCAAGACCCAAGAGAUGCAAUAUCAACUAGAGGUCUCUAAUCCACUAUGGGCCACCACCAUUGCUGCUCCAAAUCAGAGAUCUCAAAC